AUUGAACGCUGGCGGAAUGCUUUACACAUGCAAGUCGAACGGCAGCACGGGGCAACCUGGUGGCGAGUGGCGAACGGGUGAGUAAUACAUCGGAACGUGCCCAAUCGUGGGGGAUAACGUAGCGAAAGUUACGCUAAUACCGCAUACGAUCUACGGAUGAAAGCGGGGGAUCGCAAGACCUCGCGCGAAUGGAGCGGCCGAGGUCAGAUUAGGUAGUUGGUGGGGUAAAGGCUCACCAAGCCGACGAUCUGUAGCUGGUCUGAGAGGACGACCAGCCACACUGGGACUGAGACACGGCCCAGACUCCUACGGGAGGCAGCAGUGGGGAAUUUUGGACAAUGGGCGCAAGCCUGAUCCAGCCAUUCCGCGUGCAGGAUGAAGGCCUUCGGGUUGUAAACUGCUUUUGUACGGAACGAAACGGCGAGCUCUAAUACAGCUUGCUAAUGACGGUACCGUAAGAAUAAGCACCGGCUAACUACGUGCCAGCAGCCGCAGUAAGAC
rnacentral:rRNA from 1 species